rnacentral:pre_miRNA from 1 species
AUGCUACUACAUGGAUGGAGAAGCUUCCGAUCUCCCUCAAAGGCUUCCUCUAUAAUUGCCUUACAUGAUGGCAUUAGUGGACUCCUUUGGGGAGAUGGAGAGCUUACUCCCCAUAACUCAAUGGCAU